UGCUGUUGCGGCAGCUGGGGUGGCUGAGAAUAUUGUGGAAGAGAGGCUGGUUGAUAUUGUUGAUGUGAUGGAGCUGCAGGAGGCGGCUGUGGUUGCUGGGUCGGUGGUAGUUGGUAUUGCUGGUUGGGAGCUUCUUGUGCCUGACCAGGUGGUUGAAAGUAGGGCUCUCGCUGUGGGAUGGAAGGAAUCUGGUUCGGAGGGAAUUGACUAGGUAGCUGAGCUGGAGGAGACUGCAUAUUGAGUUGGGGAGGAGGUGGCGGAGCAUUAGGGGGAGGGAGUGCAGGAAGUGUUUGAGGAGUAACAGGUGGAGGAAGUGGUUGGUGAGAUUGCUGAGGAGGAGAUGCUGCUUGCUUUGCAGAAUCUAAGGUCACAGUGUUCUGGGUUUCUGAUUGCUGGUCUGCUUUGGACACUUGAAGCUUUGCAAGCUGUAGGUGAGCCUCCACUAUUUCUUGUUUGUCCCUUAAAACCUGUACACCAGUUUGCACCUGCAUGCAGAGUAGAAGAAAAUAAAUGCCCAUAAAAGGUCAUUACAGAAAAAGCAGUAUCAACAUUGGUCUUGACCACAAGAUAAAAUAAAACUCAAGGGGAAAUGUCAACCCACAUUUUGUCCCUUUGUGGCAGUGGUGAAGCCAAAAUGUGCCCGAGCAGGGUUUGAACCCAGACCCUGGACUAAGCCAAAUUUGUAUUAUAGAUAAAACAUUGCCCCCCAGAAUAUAUUUGUUUUAUCUCAGCAUAAGAAUGCCCUCACUAUUUAUUGUGAAAAAAUAUGCCAUCAAUCCCCAGCAGAGUAGAGUUACUUCAUUCACCCACUUUCUUAGAGAAAUAUCUGAAGAUUCUGAACUUACUCUGCAUUCGGACUCACAACUCCUGAGUCCUGAUUCCAGAUAUUUAAUCAUUUCAAGGAGCAUUUCUUUAAAAAGAGUAUAGCAACCAUGGUGCAUUUGUGAUAGGUACCCAAAGGACAGCUUUCUGUUUUAUCUUCUUAUUUAUUACCAUGUUUUUUUCUUUAUUUGGUAAUUUAGUGGUAACUACUUUGUUGACAAAUUUCAUUCAUUCUCAAAAGAAGAAAAGAAGAGAGAAGCCAGCAGGAUAUUAAUAUUAUGCAGUAGGCAUGCUAUUAUUUAGAGUUAUGGCAUCCGUUGCCUGUAUCCACUCCUCCCUAAUGCCAAACCAACCAAAAUGCUAACAUACAAUUAAGGGGAGAAAAGAAAAAGAAACUACCUCUCUAAGAAUAUUUUCCAGCUGCCUCAUUUUUCCAUCAGCACUGCCAUGAUUAUUUCCAACAGAUACCUUCAAAUCAUCCACAGAAUUCUCAAGGUUCCGAGUUCUGCUCUCCAGCUGUGUAAGUCGUGCACUAAGACCUUCCAACACAUGUAGCAAAUUAUCAGCAUGUUUUUUCAUUGUUCGAUCAAUCUCAGAUACAAUUGCUGCAUCAAUAUUUCGAUCUUUCUCAAGGCUGAUUUUUG
rnacentral:lncRNA from 1 species